rnacentral:rRNA from 1 species
GACGAACGCUGGCGGCGUGCUUAACACAUGCAAGUCGAGCGGUAAGGCCCUUUCGGGGGUACACGAGCGGCGAACGGGUGAGUAACACGUGGGUGACCUGCCCUCAGCUCUGGGAUAAGCCUGGGAAACCGGGUCUAAUACCGGAUAUGACUCCAUGACGCAUGUUGUGGGGUGGAAAGCCUUGUGCGGCUGAGGAUGGGCCCGCGGCCUAUCAGCUUGUUGGUGGGGNGAUGGCCUACCAAGGCGACGACGGGUAGCCGGCCUGAGAGGGCGACCGGCCACACUGGGACUGAGACAUGGCCCAGACUCCUACGGGAGGCAGCAGUGGGGAAUCUUGCGCAAUGGGCGAAAGCCUGACGCAGCGACGCCGCGUGAGGGAUGACGGCCU